UUAAGUGCUCCGCCUGGGAAGUACGGUCGCAAGACUAAAACUCAAAGGAAUUGACGGGGACCCGCACAAGCGGUGGAGCAUGUGGUUUAAUUCGAUAAUAAGCGAAAAACCUCACCAAGGCUUGACAUCUUGAUCAUAUUUCUAGGAAACUAGAAAGUCAGUUCGGCUGGAUCAAUGACAGGCGCUGCAUGGUUGUCGUCAGCUCGUAUCGUGAGAUGUACGGUUAAGUCCGGUAACGAGCGCAACCCUCAUCGUAUGUUAUAUACAUGCGAGACUGCCGUGGUUAACACGGAGGAAGGUGGGGACAACGUCAAAUCAGCAUGGCCCUUACGCCUUGGGCUACACACGUGCUACAAUGGGGAGUACAAAGGGUUGCCAAAGUGCAAACUGGAGCUAAUCCUAAAAACUCCUCCCAGUUCGGAUUGAGGUCUGAAAUUCGACCUCAUGAAGUUGGAAUCGCUAGUAAUCGUGAAUCAGCACGUCACGGUGAAUACGUUCUCGGGUCUUGUACACACCGCCCGUCACGUCAAGAGAGUUGGUAAUACCCGAACCUCGAUGUUAUAUCGUGGGAAGGUAGGACCAGCAAUAGGGAUGAAGUCGUAACAAGGUAACCAAGGGCGAA
rnacentral:rRNA from 1 species